rnacentral:rRNA from 1 species
GACGAACGCUGGCGGCGUGCCUAAUACAUGCAAGUCGAACGAGAGCGACCGGUGCUUGCACUGGUCAAUCUAGUGGCGAACGGGUGAGUAACACGUGGGUAACCUGCCCAUCAGAGGGGGAUAACAUCCGGAAACGGAUGCUAAAACCGCAUAGGUCUUCGAACCGCAUGGUUUGAAGAGGAAAAGAGGCGCAAGCUUCUGCUGAUGGAUGGACCCGCGGUGCAUUAGCUAGUUGGUGAGGUAACGGCUCACCAAGGCCGUGAUGCAUAGCCGACCUGAGAGGGUGAUCGGCCACAUUGGGACUGAGACACGGCCCAAACUCCUACGGGAGGCAGCAGUAGGGAAUCUUCCGCAAUGGACGCAAGUCUGACGGAGCAACGCCGCGUGAGUGAAGAAGGUUUUCGGAUCGUAAAACUCCGUUGUUAGAGAAGAACAAGUGCUAGAGUAACUGUUAGCGCCUUGACGGUAUCUAACCAGAAAGCCACGGCUAACUACGUG